GAGAUUUCCAGGCAGCAGGCAGAAGGCCAUUGUAGAGAAAGAAGGUUCUCUCUUAAGGGGAAAACUGCAGGUCUCGUUUCAUUUGUGUCUCUUCGGCUCUUGAGGGAAAAAUCAGACUUCUCUGAAGAGGCGAUGGUUUCUCACUAACUGUUCUUGCUAACUGAAGUGUGGCGACCAGGAUGUGGUUUUUGUGCAUACAACGCAAGGAACAGUGAAGCUCGGGGCUACACGAUUUGGUGAUAAAGAAAUGGAGGCAAUCCAGAAGUUCGUCAACAGAUGAACGCGUAAUGAAAAUGCGGCACAUACAAAUGAUGAAAUUUAUGCAGCUGCGAAGAAAAAUGGGAUUGGAAAAUUUGCAGGAAAAUGGAUGGAUCUGGAAAUGAUUAUAUUCAGUGAGGUUACUCGGACUCAGAAAGAUAAUGCGUAUUAUCUCUCAUAUGUGGACCACAAAUUUUAAUGCUUUUAUGCA